UUUCCACCGCUCAUUUCAUUUUCGCCGCUCAGCUCAUCCCUCUCACUCCUCACCUCAAAAGCUCUCGCCUCUAUGUCUCUCACCUAGACUGCCAACGCCACCAUCGGCCCAUAGCCGGAGUCUUCUUCGUCCCCGCCUCUCCACCCGUGGCUCGUCACCGACGACAUACGGAAGAUAUUCCCUCUCGUUCUCUCCCUCAUGGAUCAGAAUCCAAAUGCUUCGUUUACUCGCAAGGCGUCAGUGAACUACACGAAGACACCUUCUCGACAAUCUUUGUAUAAUAAGGUUUGUUUCUAGUUUCAGGCCUGAAUGUUGUAAUUCAUGUUUAAUUUUGUCCAAAAUCUUCACUAAGUUUACGGUUCUUCUGCUCCUUCCUGCUAUAGUUUCAUUCUUGGUUGCUUGGUCGGUGGUUUAGGGUUUAAUUUUUCUUUUAUUAUUCUAUUUUUUGUUACCGAAAUCUUAGAAUUAUGAACUUCUGAUUAUAUGGGAGAAAUGAAGGGAGCUUUAGUUCUGAUUUUAGUGAUUGAAGAUCGUUUUAACUGUUGAAUUCUUAUACUCAUAAUAAAUUUCUCAGUGCACUUUUGAUGGAGCAAAUUAUGUUGAGCUAAAUUCUAUUGGAAUUUACUGAAAGCUUUGGUCUAAAUUAGUGGAGCUUUGGUCUAAAUUAGUGGAACUUAACUCUUUGACUGUGAUUCAGGUUCAAAGAAUAGACUCUAAAUUCUAGAGGUUCUACUGGUGACACCUUUUGUUAGGUGGUUUCCUUGCUAAAGAGAAAAGGGAGAGGGGGUUCAUUCCUGCUCCAAGCAUGCUUAUGUAAAUGGUUUGUCUAAAUUGUGGGAAUUUAUUCUCCCCUGCAUGUUUCUUUUUGAUUAUCUUACUCACUAAUUCUAAAUUGUGUCAAUAUCAUAUCUUUUUCUAUUAUCUUACUCACUUAAUUCUGAACAUCUAAUUUUUGUUAGGGGUCCUCUUUUAUUUAUUUUUAAUUAACUCUCAUGCUUUCAUUUAUUUUAUACUUAGCAGGCUUGGGCUAAAGAAGAUCUAAUGAGAGAACAAAACAAAGAAUUGCAAACUUACAGAUUGAAAGACCUCUGCAAAGACAUGGUGGUAGGCUUGAACAAUAGUGUGGACAGAUAAAAAAGGAUUGGAUAUCAUCUUCUAAACUUUUUGGAUGCAAAAAUGGUUUGCUUAAAGCUAAGAAGUUAGAAACAGAGGUCCCUGCUUGCUUUGGCAAACUACAUAAAUGCUCUGGGAAAACAACAAAAGAAGGGUCUAGCUUACGUUCCUUAUCGUAAUAGCAAAUUGAUGUUUAUUCUUAAAGAUGGCAUGAGUGGUAAUUCUCAUACUAUAAUGAUCAUCACCAUGUUAACACUUUGAAGUAUGCUCACCGAACAAAGGAAAUUAAGGCACAUAUUCAGGUUAAUAAACAGAGAUGCCUUUUACCAGCUACAGAUUGCUAAAGGCCUAAAGCUAAGGAGCCUCUUCCCAGUUACAAAUUGCUCCAGUUGGUUAAAUACAUUUGCAAUUCGUUUAAUUUGAGUGCUAUGUUAUACAACUGUGAAAUUGUGCAAAUAAUGAAUUACUAUAUGAGAUUUCAUAAUAUGCUUUUGUAGAAUUUUUUUUUAAA